GUGGAUGACGUCCCAAUACGAGCAUUCAAGAACUCGAAAGACCUAGGUGUGAAAUUCCCAUUCAAUCAACCCAUGAAAAUAUACUCAAGCCUUUGGGAUGCAGAUGAUUGGGCCACAAGAGGUGGAUUGGAGAAAACAGACUGGUCAAAUGCCCCAUUUACUGCCUCCUACACAUCAUUCCACGUGGACGGCUGUGAAGCUGCCACCCCACAAGAAGUCCAAGUUUGUAACACCAAAGGCAUGAGAUGGUGGGAUCAAAAGGCUUUCCAAGAUUUAGAUGCUUUGCAAUAUAGGAGACUUCGUUGGGUUCGUCAAAAAUACACUAUCUAUAACUAUUGCACUGAUAGGAAGAGAUACCCUACUCUUCCAC
rnacentral:lncRNA from 1 species